rnacentral:rRNA from 1 species
AAUCAACGCUGGCGGCGUGCCUCAGACAUGCAAGUCGAACGAUUAAAGCUCCCUUCGGGAGUGCAUAAAGUGGCGCACGGGUGAGUAACACGUAAGUAAUCUACCCUCGGGUGGGAAUAACAUCGGGAAACCGGAUGCUAAUACCGCAUAAUGCAGCGGCACCGCAAGGUGACAGUUGUUAAAGAUUUAUUGCCUGGGGAGGAGCUUGCGGCAGAUUAGCUUGUGGUAAGGAAC